CUUCGGGUGAGUGGCAGACGGGUGAGUAACGCGUGGGAACCUACCCAUUGGUACGGAAUAACCCGGGGAAACCCGAGCUAAUACCGUAUACGCCCGGUUCUUAGGGACUGGGGAAAGAUUCAUCGCCGAUGGAUGGGCCCGCGUCGGAUUAGCUUGUUGGUGUGGUAACGGCGCACCAAGGCGACGAUCCGUAGCUGGUCUGAGAGGAUGAUCAGCCACACUGGGACUGAGACACGGCCCAGACUCCUACGGGAGGCAGCAGUGGGGAAUAUUGGACAAUGGGCGCAAGCCUGAUCCAGCCAUGCCGCGUGAGUGAAGAAGGCCUUAGGGUUGUAAAUCUCUUUCGGCGGGGAAGAUAAUGACGGUACCCGCAGAAGAAGCCCCGGCUAACUCCGUGCCAGCAGCCGCGGUAAUACGGAGGGGGCUAGCGUUGUUCGGAAUUACUGGGCGUAAAGGGCACGUAGGCUGGCUGUUAAGUCGGGGGUGAAAUCCUGAGGCUCAACCUCAGAAUUGCCUCCGAUACUGGCGGUCUCGAGUGCGGGAGAGGUGAGUGGAAUUCCCAGUGUAGAGGUGAAAUUCGUAGAUAUUGGGAAGAACACCAGUGGCGAAGGCGGCUCACUGGCCCGCAACUGACGCUGAGGUGCGAAAGCGUGGGGAGCAGACAGGAUUAGAUACCCUGGUAGUCCACGCC
rnacentral:rRNA from 1 species